UGAAAUUCUAUGAUGAGAAGAGUAAGCUUUUUUAUAUUUUCAGAGAGAAGGUACAUCGGUGUGAGUAUCUUUAAAUAUGUUUAGCUGAAAACCACCUCUGAGUGACUCUAAUAAAGUCCGUUAUAAUCACGUUACGAUUUUCUUAAGUGGCUAUUAGUUAGCAAUUUAGGGUGGAACCGCGGGAAUUAAUACUCUCGUCCCUUUA
rnacentral:ncRNA from 1 species